GCCUAGCUAGCGCAAUAGCAGCGCGCCAGAGUCUCAUCAUACUCUGAAGGUUGUGGGUUCGAUUCCCAUGUUGGGGU